UUUACUUUUCAGGCUUCAGUGUGCUCCUGGUUUUCUGGCUGAAAACGUGUCAACCGUACCGUACCGGAUAAAUUUUCAGUCUUGUGAUUAUUUGGGAAGGCUUAAUAGAAUAUCAAAUGGUAUUUCCAUCUAUCAAUAUCCACCAUUCCCAUCAACAGUGUGAGUAAACAUCGACUUUUUCCUCACAUCAGUUUUUUGCCGUCAUUUUUUUAUUAAAUUUCUGCGUGUCCAACCCAAUAAAACAGUAAAACGCACAUCAAAUGCGUCUUUUACAAAACCACCCCUAAAGGUAAAGUUACUGAAGAUGAGUGGAGACGUGGGACUUGCGAAGGUGAUGGCAACACCCUCAACCACUAUAAAAGCAUGCAGUGCCACGAGACGAUGAUGGUAUUCAUCAUCCUCUUUUGGCUCUGCAUGCUUUUACAGUAGUUGCGGGGUGUUCAAGUGGGCACGCACUAAUUUAGAAUAAAAUUGGCCACAAAACAAUCAGUUGUGUGGAAGAAACGACAUUCGCAGGUGAUGGUGUCGGUGAACGAUGGAAAUGGCAUUUUAUAUAGUAUUAAGCCUCCUCAAAUAAUCUUAAAACUCUGAAUUUGUCUUUUCCUGCGGCCAUACGUGUCAGGCAAAAAGACCAUCGACACACUGAACAACUAAAGUACCACUUCAACGUUCUAAAUCAAAGCAUUGUUGCAGUUGUUCCUAGGCACGAGGACCAAAAUGGGAAAAACGCUUCUCUGCUUCUCGUCCACAAUUAAUGCUGUGGUACCCGGAUGUUGAGGAUGGCUCACGCAGUGAACACAAUCAGGAACAGGACAGGACAUUCGUCUUAUAAUCAGAACACUGUAGAACUUUCAACAAUUAAAUUAUGUAUUGUUUUACAUAAAUAAUAAAUUGUGUUUAAACAUUAUCAAA